UCGUAAAAUGAUAGAAGAAAUUGGCUGGCCACUUUGAUUGAAAAAAUAACUCCUGUUGUACCAAACCAAUAUAACGGGUGCCUAAAACGGCUAGCCCCCCGUUGCCGAAACCGUCGUAGGUGUAGCUCACGCGCCGGAUUCUCGUCCUCCUGUUCGCGCCUUCUCCUCCGAAUCAAUGGCCAAUAGCCCGCCUAAAAGUCCUCGGCGCUCUAGAUCGCCGAUCCUCUUCGGACCUCAGGUUCUAUCCGCAACAUCCUCUCUCACUUCCGCUUCGAUUUUUCUGCAUAUGGUUUAUGCUUUGAUGUUGAAUUGAUUUUGGUGGAAUCUUUGUUUUGUUCGGUCAACUAGCUUAUUCGUCGAUUUUGCUUUCUGUGUUCAGUUGGUGAGUUUUGGUGCUAACUAAUGUCUGGUGCGUGAGAGACAGAGAGCGGGAGAUUAGGAGGCAGUGUAAGUAGGGUUGCAGGAAGAAGAAGCUUAAAAGAGAAAUCAAAGAAAAGACGAACCUGUGUCACGUACGCCGCCGUGGGUGUGUUCGCCGCUGAUGAUAAUAAAAUUCCAAAUAUAAGAUUCCUGAUCGCUGCAAAGAUUGUUGGGAGUUGGUGGUGGUCUAGGAGAUGGUUGUCCCGGAGGUGGUGGCGUGACCUGCUUCCUCGCCGUGAAGGUGGCACAGGAGGUGGUGGUUGCUUAAAAUGGCCCGCAUUGCAAAAAUAAAAUCCAAUGUAAAAUUAAUUUAACCAUUUUAAUAAUAUUACAUUUACAAAAUAUUUUUGUUAUAAAAUUACAAUUAUUUUGAAAAAAUAUUAUGGAAAUAAUUCCUAUAUGUUUUCCUAACCUUUUAAUGGUUUAAAAAAUAAAUAUAUUCUUUUCCUUGUACAGUAUAUUUUCAUAAAUG
rnacentral:lncRNA from 1 species